rnacentral:rRNA from 1 species
CUUAAAUAGCUGCAGUAUUUUAACUGUACAAAGGUAGCGUAGUAAUUAGUCUUUUAAUUGAGGUCUUGUAUGAAUGGUUUGACAAGAAGAAAACUUUAUUGAGUUAAUUGUAUUAAUUUUAUUUUUUAGUUAAAAAGCUAAAAUUUUUAAAUGGGACGAUAAGACCCUAUAGAUCUUUAAAUUUUUACUAUUUAAAUCAAUUUAAGGUUAUUUAAAUUUUAUUUGUAACAAAUUUUUUGUUGGGGUGACAUAUAAAAUUUUAAAACUUUAAUAGUUUUUUACAUAGAUUUAUGGAUUUCUGAACCCUAAUUUUGGGUUAUUAAAAUUAGAUACCUUAGGGAUAACAGCGUAAUAAAUUUGUAUAGUUCUCAUAGAUAAAUUUGUUUACGACCUCGAUGUUGAAUUAAUCUAAAGUUUUGGGGCAGAAAUUAAAAUUUUAGGUCUGUUCGACCUUUAAAAGAUUACA